AACGCAGCAGGGCUCAGAUGGAAAGCUUGCUGGUCUGAGUCAUCAUAUACACAGCAGCUAUCAGAGUAAUUUAGUUACAGAGCAACCUGCAUUGUAAAAAACACACUCGCAGGCCAUGGUGGACUCUCCUGGCAGGAGGCUAGACAAAGACAGAAGAGUCAGCUGAGUAGCUGGAGGGACUCACUUGAAAGGAGCUUCCUGUGCGAUUCCUGCAGACUAAGAUGCUGUCAAGGCAAAGGAACAACCUUGGCAAAUUUCCUCACCUCCUGACCACUUGGCAGCCUCCUGUGCCAUCCAGGUAAG